rnacentral:sRNA from 1 species
CCCUAACCCAGAUAGCAGUGGAAAUCCUUUUGUGCCGAGGCUAGGUACAAAAGAUUAGGACGUAUAGAGGGGAAAGCU